AUACGGAGGGUGCAAGCGUUAUUCGGAAUCACUGGGCGUAAAGGACGCGUAGGCGGGUUGGCAAGUCAGAUGUGAAAUCCUACAGCUUAACUGUAGAACUGUAUUUGAAACUGCUAACCUAGAGUAUGGGAGGGGGAGAUGGAAUUAGUGGUGUAGGGGUAAAAUCCGUAGAUAUCACUAGGAAUACCGAAAGCGAAGGCGAUCUCCUGGAACAUAACUGACGCUAAGGCGUGAAAGCGUGGGGAGCAAACAGGAUUAGAAACCCCUGUAGUCC
rnacentral:rRNA from 1 species